UACGUAGGGUGCAAGCGUUAAUCGGAAUUACUGGGCGUAAAGCGUGCGCAGGCGGUUUUGUAAGUCUGUCGUGAAAGCCCCGGGCUCAACCUGGGAAUUGCGAUGGAGACUGCAAGGCUUGAAUCUGGCAGAGGGGGGUAGAAUUCCACGUGUAGCAGUGAAAUGCGUAGAGAUGUGGAGGAACACCGAUGGCGAAGGCAGCCCCCUGGGUCAAGAUUGACGCUCAUGCACGGAAGCGUGGGGAGCAAACAGG
rnacentral:rRNA from 1 species